CGCAUGAUAAGUUUUGGUGGUGCAGUAUUCUAGUCGGUACUGCCGAUUCCGAAGACGGGCCUAAAAAUCCGUUAUAGGGCACAUCGAUGAAGUUUCUGGUGUUGGCCGCUGACGCCCCGUCGGGAGCUGAUGCUGGGAGUUAAGAAAGAAGGGCGAUCCAUAAGGGCAUAUGGGCGUUGACCCAGCUUUCGCGGAGACCUGUUGCGGUGGUGGCUUGCCAUUACUGGACAGGGAAAAACCUGCUAUGCGGUACUAAGCUGUGUACAGAGUAGCCUGCCUUGAGUUGGCAUGGUGGAAAUGCGGGAUAAUUUGCAAGCCAUUUGCAGCGUACGGGCAAUGGCGAGCACGACUGUAAAAAACCAUGCUGGCAAAAGAGACUAGGAAUUGGAUUUGUGCUGUUGAGGAAAGCUCCUAGACUGUAUUUCAGGCAAUAAGGGGAUUAUAGUGUGGUUUGAACAGGCAAUCCGGUCGUGCGUGUGGUAACACCGCACCGGAGGCUUCAAAGGGAAACCGCUCCUUUCGGCGACGGGGAGUAGCUUCCGGGGAAAUCCUACCGGACCAUAUACUGCAAGGUCUACUCUUAUUGUCACCACCAAUUUUUUAAUACCG
rfam:Christensenella minuta strain DSM 22607 genomic scaffold Scaffold234, whole genome shotgun sequence.